UACAGAGGUCUCAAGCGUUGUUCGGAUUCAUUGGGCGUAAAGGGUGCGUAGGCGGCGCGGUAAGUCGGGUGUGAAAUCUCGGAGCUUAACUCCGAAACUGCAUUUGAUACUGCCGUGCUUGAGGACUGGAGAGGAGACUGGAAUUUACGGUGUAGCGGUGAAAUGUGUAGAGAUCGGGAGGAACACCGGUGGCGAAGGCGGGUCUCUGGGCAAUUCCUGACGCUGAGGCGCGAAAGCGUGGGGAGCAAACGGG
rnacentral:rRNA from 1 species